GACGAACGCUGGCGGCGUGCCUAACACAAGCAAGUCGAGCGAUUUACUUCGGUAAAGAGCGGCGGACGGGUGAGUAACGCGUGGGUAACCUGCCCUGUACACACGGAUAACAUACCGAAAGGUAUGCUAAUACGAGAUAAUAUACUUUUAUCGCAUGGUAGAAGUAUCAAAGCUCCGGCGGUACAGGAUGGACCCGCGUCUGAUUAGCUAGUUGGUAAGGUAACGGCUUACUAAGGCGACGAUCAGUAGCCGACCUGAGAGGGUGAUCGGCCACAUUGGAACUGAGACACGGUCCAAACUCCUACGGGAGGCAGCAGUGGGGAAUAUUGCACAAUGGGCGAAAGCCUGAUGCAGCAACGCCGCGUGAGCGAUGAAGGCCUUCGGGUCGUAAAGCUCUGUCCUCAAGGAAGAUAAUGACGGUACUUGAGGAGGAAGCCCCGGCUAACUACGUGCCAGCAGCCGCCGUAAAAC
rnacentral:rRNA from 1 species